rnacentral:rRNA from 1 species
CCCAGACUCCUACGGGAGGCAGCAGUGGGGAAUAUUGGACAAUGGGGGGAACCCUGAUCCAGCGACGCCGCGUGAGUGAAGAAGUAUUUCGGUAUGUAAAGCUCUAUCAGCAGGGAAGAAGAAAUGACGGUACCUGACUAAGAAGCCCCGGCUAACUACGUGCCAGCAGCCGCGGUAAUACGUAGGGGGCAAGCGUUAUCCGGAUUUACUGGGUGUAAAGGGAGCGUAGACGGCAGUGCAAGUCUGAAGUGAAAGCCCCGGGCUUAACCCGGGAAUUGCUUUGGAAACUGUACGGCUGGAGUGCUGGAGAGGUAAGCGGAAUUCCUAGUGUAGCGGUGAAAUGCGUAGAUAUUAGGAGGAACACCAGUGGCGAAGGCGGCUUACUGGACAGUAACUGACGUUGAGGCUCGAAAGCGUGGGGAGCAAACAGGAUUAGAUACCCGGGUAUCG